UGUGGUUCUGCAGCUUAACACUAAAAUUGGAAGGAUGUGGAGAGGAUUAUCAUGGUCUCUGGGCAAGGAUGACAAGAAAUUCAUGCAGCAUCCCCUAUUUUU